rnacentral:lncRNA from 1 species
AAGGCAGAGUGGCCUCUGUGGCCAGGGAGCCGCAGGCAAGGGACUAAGGGGAGGGGGGCUCAGUGCCAGCUGCUUAAAAAUGCCCCUGUGGCAGCGAGGGGCACCAGAGGCUGGGUCUAAUUAGUUGAGAAGCAGUGACACCCCCAACCACUCCCCAAACAGGCUGGCUCCCGUCUCCAGGCCCCAAGGAGCCACACCUGGACCAGACCCCAGGAAAGACAUGUGGUGGAAACCCUACGGCCCUGGAGCCCAAGGAGAGCAACGGCUGUAACAAGUGCACAGGCAAGGGCGCUAGCUGGUGGGAGCCACCCCGCCAUGCUGAUGUCAGAGAAGCAAGAACUCUGGAGAAGCAGCCUCCUGGGACCAGAGGAGGGCCAGCAGCAGGCAGCCCGGAGACAGAACUCUCACCCACGCCUCUCCAAGCCUCCCAACAGAAGACAGAGGUCCCCCACAGCCAGAGACAUUUCCUGAAGACAUGGGGAACACAGAGGCAGAAACAGCCCAUCCACCCAGGAGCUGUCCCCCACACUGCCGGGAGCCGGCACCCAGAGCCGCCAGGUAAAACUGAGGCCACCUGGUUCAACAUCACCUUUCACAGAAGGGGAAGCAGCCACAGAAAGAAGGGCCUCGUUAAGAAGUGGAACCUGGGACCCCCAAGCGGUGUCUCUCAUCCUGACUGGGGAUCCAGAGUAGGAGGGAGCCUUUGGUGGGACACAAAGGAACAGAACGAGGCACCAACAGCAAGGGGCAAGCAGAUUCAAGGGCCACAGAGGAGAUGGAGGCAAACACCUUCCCCUGGUCAGAGGCUGUGCCUCAGCCCUUCUCCCUGCAUCAGUUUCUCCUUCAGAAGCAUGGGACUACCUCCCAUCUAGUUCUCGUUUCUAAACCUAGGGGAGAUGCUAUCUUUGCUGCAAUAAUCUUAGCCUACAUCUUGGAAUGGAAAUGGCCUUGGUGGAAAUGGUCUUCAACUCCUCUGGUCCAAGCUCAGGCCCUGUGACCCUGGAACAAUCCCCUUCCUGGUCCUCCAUGUAGGAGCAAUAACAUUCCCUUGCCAGCAGCACCAGCCAUUCUGAUGAUUAAAUGGUAUCGGACUCUGUUUUCCAAACUCAGUCAUUCAGAUGCCCCCUAUUUUAUUUCUUCCAUGUCUGCAAAUGAUUAUAAUAUUUUUAAAUGUAGGAUGAGUCCUUUUUAUUACACAUAGAAAUAGCUACUGUAAAUAGCAAACUCUAACACUGUGCCUAAUUAGGAAAUAAAGGUAACCAUAAAUACAGUAAAAAUGAAACAA